GCCACCUGUGUGAUGUGGACACCACCUCUCCGUGAAAGUUUUUCCUAUCCUUUCCUUGUACUUCAGAUGUAUGUUUUAACUUUGAUUCUCAGGACCUCAAGCAAUGAUAGAAGGCCCUUCAUUGCACUCUGUCUUUCCAAUGUUGCUUUUAUGCUUCCCUGGCAAUUUGCUCAGUUUAUACUUUUUACACAGAUAGCAUCAUUAUUUCCCAUGUAUGUUGUGGGAUACAUUGAACCAAGCAAAUUUCAGAAGAUCAUUUAUAUGAACAUGAUUUCAGUUACCCUUAGUUUCAUUUUGAUGUUUGGAAAUUCAAUGUACUUAUCUUCUUAUUAUUCUUCAUCUUUGUUAAUGACAUGGGCAAUAAUUCUAAAGAGAAAUGAAAUUCAAAAACUGGGAGUAUCUAAACUCAACUGCUGGCUAAUUCAAGGUAGUGCCUGGUGGUGUGGAACAAUCAUUUUGAAAUUUCUGACAUCUAAAAUCUUAGGCGUUUCAGACCAUAUUUGCCUGAGUGAUCUUAUAGCAGCCGGAAUCUUAAGGUAUACAGAUUUUGAUACUUUAAAAUACACCUGUUCUCCCGAAUUUGACUUCAUGGAAAAAGCGACUCUGCUGAUAUACACAAAGACAUUAUUGCUUCCAGUUGUUAUGGUGAUUACAUGUUUUAUCUUUAAAAAGACUGUUGGUGAUAUUUCGCGUGUUUUAGCUACAAACGUUUAUCUAAGAUGCUGUCUUUGCAGGUGCCAUGCCUACAAUGGCAAGUGUCAAGCUGUCUACACUUCAUCCCAUUGUGAAUCAUCCACAUUACGAAGAUGCAGACUUGAGGCCUGGUUGCAGCAUGCUUGAAAUCUGGGAUGUGGAAGACCCUUCCAAUGCAGCUAACCCUCCCUUAUGUAGCGUCCUCCUUGAGCCGAGAUUGUGCCACUGCACUCCAGCCUGGGCGACAAAUCAAGACCCCGUCUCC
ensembl:lncRNA DPY19L2P2 DPY19L2 pseudogene 2